GGUCCGCUGGCUCAAUGGCAGAGCGUCUGACUACGAAUCAGGAGGCUCCAGGCUCGACCCCUAGGUAGAUCG